rnacentral:rRNA from 1 species
UUUUAUGAGAGUUUGAUCCUGGCUCAGGACGAACGCUGGCGGCGUGCCUAAUACAUGCAAGUCGAACGCUUCUUUUUCCACCGGAGCUUGCUCCACCGGAAAAAGAGGAGUGGCGAACGGGUGAGUAACACGUGGGUAACCUGCCCAUCAGAAGGGGAUAACACUUGGAAACAGGUGCUAAUACCGUAUAAC